GGAGUUGUAGCUCAGUGGUAGAGCACUUGCCUGGCAUGUGUGAGGCACUGGGUUCAAUUCUCAGCACUGCA
rnacentral:tRNA from 1 species